GCAUCUGUAGUGUAGUGGUUAUCAUCCUUGCCUUCCAUGACUCCUCGCGGUUAGCAAGGGACCCGAUUUCGAUUAUCGGCGGAUGCA